UAAUCCCAGCUACUCGGGAGGCUCAGGAGAAUCACUUGAAACCAGGAGGCGGAGGUUGCAGUGAGCCAAGAUCACACCACUGCACUCCAGCCUGGGCAACAAGAGCGAAACUCCGUCUCAAAAAAAAAAAAAAAAAAAAAAAAGAAAAAGAAAAAAAAUUAAAACAAUUGUAAAAAGGUUCAUCCAUUUUGCAGCAUGUCAGAAUUUCUUUCCUUUUCAAGGUUAAUAAUGUUUCAUUCAUUGUAUGCAUCCAGCAUUUUAUCCAUUCAUCCACUGAUGGGCACUUGGGUUGCUUCCACCUUAGCCAUUGCUGAUAAUAUUGCUAUGAACAAGGGUGUACAAAUAUCUCUUUGAGACCCUACUCUCAAUUCUUUUGCACAUAUAUACAUAUAUAUAUAUACACAUAUAUGUAUAUAUACACACACACAUAUAUAUACACAUAUAUGUAUAUAUACACACACACACAUAUAUAUGUACCCAGAAGUGGAACUGCUGGAUCAUAUGGUAAUUCCAUGUUUAAUAUUUUGAGGAACUUACAUAUUAUUUUCCAAAGCAGUUGCAUUACUUACAUUCCCAUCAAGAGUGUACAUGACUUCUAAUAUCUCUACAUGCUCUCUAACAAUUGUUAUUUUCAAUUUUUUUGACAGUAACCAUCCUCAUGGGUGUGAGGUGGUAUUUUGUUGUGAUUUUGACUUGUGGAUUAGUGACACUGAACCACUUUUCAUGUGCUUGUUGGCCAACUGUUAUCUUCUUUGGAGAAAUAUCUAUUCAAAUCUUUUACCUUUUUUUUAAAGACAGGGUAUCAUUCUGUCACCCAGGCUGGAGUGCAGUGGCAAAAUCAGGGCUCACUGCAGCCUCAUCUCUUGGGCUGAAGCGAUCCUCCCACCUCAGCCUCCUGAGUAGCUGGGAUUACAGGUAUCUGCCACCACGCCUGGCUAAUCUUUAAAUUUUUUGUGGAGACAGGGUCUCACCAUGAUGCCCAGGCUGGUCGUGAACUCUUGGGCUCAAGUAAUCUUCCUGCCUUAGCCUACCAAAGUGCUGGGAUUCUAGUGUGAGCCACAGUGCUCGGCCAUUUUUGCUGCCCCCAACCCCUUUUUGGCAGAGUCUCCCUCUGUCACCCAGGCUGAAGUGCAGUGGUGUGAUUACGGCUCACUGCAGCCUCAACCUCCCAGGAUCAAGUGACGCUCCUGAAUGGCCUCCAAAGUAGCUGAGACUGCAGGCACGCGCCUCCAUGCCCGGCUAAUUUUUAAAAUGUUCUGUAGAGAUGGGGUCUCUCUAUGUUGCCCAGGCUAGUCUCAAACUCCUGAACUCAAGAUAUCCUCCUGCCUUGGCCUCCCAAAGUAUUGGGAUUACAGGCAUUGCUCGACCUUCUGCCCAUUUUAAAUUGGGUUUUCUGUUGUUGACAGAGAGAUUUUAUUUGAUAAUAAUUUAAAUUUUUGAAAUAUGUAUUUUAAAUGUUAUAUAAAAUGCAUUUCAAGUAUUCCAGUGUAAAAUAUACACUGUGCUCUCCCAAUCAGAAUGGAAUGGACUUUAUUUGAACCCCUACAGAUAACAAUAUUGUCAUUAAAAAUUAGGAAACUGAAAUUUAGAAAGGAUGAGCACCUUAUCCAACAGGACACUGAAUUUUUCAGUACUACCUUCAGAGAUCACUGAACUGUAGCCUGUUUUUGUCUAGGCUUAACUAGGGAAGAAGCCACUUUCGAUCUCACGCAAAUGGUUAACAGAAUCUAUUUCCUGUGGCUGGGGAGCUGAGGGCUCUGGCUUCUUGCUGACUAUUGGCUGCAGUCCUCCCUUAGCUCCUAGAGGCCUCCUGCAGUUCAUGUCCCCAUGUGCCUCCUCAACAUGUGCACUUCAUUAAGCCAAGGAGAGCCUAGAGCUAGUUUGCUAGCAAGAUGGAGUCUUAUACAGUGUAACAUAAUCGUGCAGCUACAUUACACCACCUUUGCCAUUUUCUAUUGCUGUGAAGCAACUCACAGGUCUCAAUCAUAACCAAGGGGAUGAUACAGUAGAAAAUGGCAAAGGGCAUGACUACUAGGACACCAGGGUGGCAGACUGUAUUUUUCAAAAACAGCCACAGCAAUAUUCUCUGACAUGGUCUUCUAGAACCUUGUUACUUUUUAUCAACAAUUUCCUCUGCUUCCCUGUCACUGAACCUGGGUGACACACUGUGAUACAGCUUGCCUGGCUCUCUCUUUUGCGAUACUUGCCCUUGAAACUCAACCUCCAUGAUCUGAGGCAGGCCAAAACAGCCCAUAUGGAGAGAUCACAUGGAGAGGUUCACGUGGUCAGGAAUAGAGGCCUCAAACAACAGCCAGCAUUAACUCUCAGCUAUGAGCUUUCAAAUAAUUCCUGUCCUGAGCCUGAAUCUUUCAGCUAAGGCCUUAAUCACUGUGGAGCACAGAAAAGCCAGCUUUUCUAAACCCUGUGCAAAUUCCUGAACAAUAAACAAGCAUAAUAAAUGGUUGUUUCAUGCCACUAAAUUUUGGGUUGAUUUGUUACACAGCCAUAGUAAUUGGGACAUGUUAAUAGAAUAAAGGAGCAAGAACCCACAAUUAUUUCAAUACAUGCAGAAAAAGCAUUUGAUAGAGUCUGACAUUUAUUAAUAAUUAAAAAGUUCCAGCAAAUUAUAAAUCGAAGGGAACUUUCUUAAUCUGACAAAGAGUUAAUACAUAAAACUUACUGCACACAGUGUAUUUAUUGUUGACAGUUUUUCUCUAUCAUCACUUCUAUUCAUUAUAUUGGAAGUUCUGGGUAACUGAAAAAAUAAAAGGCAUAAGAAUUAGAAAGGAAGAAAUAGAACUGCCUUUAGCUGCAGAUUACAUGUCUAUAUAGAAAAUCUGAGAUUAUUAUUAUUAUUAGGAUUCAGUGAGUUUGGUAAGACUGUUGGACACUGGAACAACAUUAAAAAAUCAAUUUUAUUUCUAUUUGACAAAAAAUAAUCAAAGUCUGGGCACAGUGGCUCGUAAGUGUAAUCCCAACACUUUGGAAAGCCAAGGCAGGAGAAUCACUUGAGCCUAGGAGUUCAAGACCAGCUUGGGCAAAAUUAGUAGACCCCGUCUCUACAAAAACAUUAAAAAAUUAGCUGGGUCCAUGUGGUGUGCACUUGUAGUCCCUUCUACCUUGGAGGAGGUCGAGGCUAUAGUCAGCUGUGAUUGCACCACUGCACUCCAGCCUGGGCAACAGAGCAAGAAACCAUCUCUUAAAAGAGAGAAUAAUUAACAACUGAAAAUUUAGAAGCUACUAUUUA
rnacentral:lncRNA from 1 species